GAACGCUGGCGGCAUGCCUAACACAUGCAAGUCGAACGGCAGCACAGUAAAGAUUUCGGUCUUUACGGGUGGCGAGUGGCGGACGGGUGAGUAAAGCGUAGGAAUCUGUCCUGGAGAGUGGGAUAACCCGAGGAAACUCGGGCUAAUACCGCAUGAUAUCGAGAGAUCAAAGCAGGGGACCCUUCGGGGCCUUGCGCUCUAGGAUGAGCCUACGUCGGAUUAGCUAGUUGGUGGGGUAAAGGCCUACCAAGGCGACGAUCCGUAGCUGGUCUGAGAGGAUGACCAGCCACACUGGGACUGAGACACGGCC
rnacentral:rRNA from 1 species